UACGUAGGGGGCAAGCGUUGUCCGGAAUUAUUGGGCGUAAAGCGCGCGCAGGCGGUCCAUUAAGUUGGGUGUUUAAGCCCGGGGCUCAACCCCGGUUCGCAUCCAAAACUGGUUGACUUGAGUGUAGGAGAGGAAAGUGGAAUUCCACGUGUAGCGGUGAAAUGCGUAGAGAUGUGGAGGAACACCAGUGGCGAAGGCGACUGUCUGGCCUAUGACUGACGCUGAGGCGCGAAAGCGUGGGGAGCAAACAGG
rnacentral:rRNA from 1 species